UACGGGAGGCAGCAGUGGGGAAUAUUGCACAAUGGGCGCAAGCCUGAUGCAGCCAUGCCGCGUGUAUGAAGAAGGCCUUCGGGUUGUAAAGUACUUUCAGUCGUGAGGAAGGUGUUAAGGUUAAUAACCUUAGCAAUUGACGUUAGCGACAGAAGAAGCACCGGCUAACUCCGUGCCAGCAGCCGCGGUAAUACGGAGGGUGCGAGCGUUAAUCGGAAUUACUGGGCGUAAAGGGCACGCAGGCGGUUAAUUAAGUUGGAUGUGAAAUCCCCGGGCUUAACCUGGGAAUGGCAUUCAAGCUGGUUAGCUAGAGUCUUGUAGAGGGGGUAGAAUUCCAUGUGUAGCGGUGAAAUGCGUAGAGAUGUGGAGGAAUACCGGUGGCGAAGGCGGCCCCUGGACAAAGGACUGACGCUCAUGUGCGAAAGCGUGGGGAGCAAACAGGGAUUUAGAUACC
rnacentral:rRNA from 1 species